UACGUAGGGUGCAAGCGUUGUCCGGAAUUAUUGGGCGUAAAGAGCUCGUAGGCGGUCUGUCGCGUCUGCUGUGAAAACCUGGGGCUUAACCCCGGGCCUGCAGUGGGUACGGGCAGACUAGAGUUCGGUAGGGGAGUCUGGAAUUCCUGGUGUAGCGGUGAAAUGCGCAGAUAUCAGGAGGAACACCGGUGGCGAAGGCGGGACUCUGGGCCGAUACUGACGCUGAGGAGCGAAAGCGUGGGGAGCAAACAGG
rnacentral:rRNA from 1 species